UACUUUGCUUUUUUGCUUUUCUUCAUUCCUUCUCAUUUUCAUGAGAAACAUGUAUUUUAAAAUUUGUUUUAAUAAAUAGGGACUUUUAGACCCAGUGACUAAGGCAAAGUAUGAUUUAUGAUGGUUAAAAACCAUGUGUGAUAUUAAAGUCACAUUUUCUCCAUAAGGUUUAACUAUGGUGUGCUUUCAUGCACUUUGGGCCAUCAGCCAGUUUUCCCUUUGAUGCUGUCAGCUUCAAUCUCCUGGCUCCUGGCAACAGAUCUCUGAAAUGAGACCUCUUUCAUUUCUCUGUUUAAAACAAAACACAUACAAUUUGGUAAAGAAUUUCUGAGGCUGCAGAGAGACUUGCCACGCAGGUAUAUAGAGAUGGCUUGGCAUGAAGUGGAGUUUUGAACAUAGAUUUCACAGGCAUAUACAAUCAUCGCUAUGCUUUACCAAGCCCCUUCUCACAAACUUUAAUUUUUAAUGUAUUCGUUACAAUCCAGAUACCCAAGCAGGCUCGGUGUAAUGAGGUAACCUACUUCCUUGAGGCAGUGAUUAUUUUUGAAACUUAAGGCCAUAAUGUAAUGGGGUAUCUGGUUUGUAACUAAGAGUGAUACAUCCAUUCUAGACUACUACCCCCCCCCCCCCCCCCGCAGAAACCUACGGUUCUUUCAAUCUCUAUACAAAACGGACAUCUAAGAGCCAAGUCUACAUGACUCUACAGCAGGGGGGAGUCUGCACUGUAGUACAAGAGCAAUCCACAGGCAAUGUGGCUUGAACAAUCGAACCACUAUCCAAAGGGGCAUACUCUAAAGAUGGAUUCCUACACGAAGUCUUUCAAAGGUUUGAUCGAGUUACCCGGGUCUUGGCAUCCUUUUAUAGUUAAGGAUAGAAUUUUGGGUUUCCCUGAGAUUAUGCUUGCAUUAUAGGAAGCUAAAGUUCACGAUUUUGGGAGUUGUCCCUUCAGGGAGUAUUUUGUUUGCUUUUUAUCUGGGUCAGCUGAGGCAGAAGGCAGUGUGUGGAUACUGCUAAGUGGAUUUUGAGACAAUCAAAUCAUAUUCGUUGUGCUCAAUGUAAAACAGGGCCCUACGGAAGAAAGCUUCGCCGCCAACAGCAAUUAGCAGUUCGGCUUCCUAGGCAUAGCAACCGGAAAUCAGUUUUGCAGCAUUUGGAUCUGGCUGGAACAUCUCUGCAGCUACAGUAAACCCUGCAACCUCAGCCCAUAGCAGGGACCAAAGCGCUGUCCGCGGUGCUAAAAUCGAAUGCGCAAGACUGGAGGUCUCUAAGAGGCACCAGGCUGCCCGGCUCUGAGCCGCGCUUUCUCGGCACCGCGCAGAAGCUGCCAGGGCUGUGCGGGGUGCGGGGCGCUGUGCGGGGGAGGGGUGGGUGCGCGAGCUCGCCGCCUGCCUCGAGUCGCGCACGCGCGCCCGGGACUGCCUGCCCCUCUCUGUGACUUUCCUGUGUGUGUGCGUGUGUGUGUGUGUAUGUGUGUGUAUGUGUGUGCGCGCGCGUGUGAGAGAGGAGAGAGGGAGAAGAGAGCUCGAGAGAGGGUGAUUGUGUGAGUGCACGGGAGGGUGCUGAUAUUCCCAGACACCGGGACCACAGCAGCAGCUCAGCUAAAAACUGCAUUCAGCCAGUCCUCGGACUUCAGGAGCAGGGACAGGACGCAGGCAUCAACAGCCACCAGCUAAACCUGGGAGAUAAGGAUUCUUCUGCCUUCACUUCGUGGUUUUAGCAGCUCCUUGCUAAAUUUCGACCUCAAAAUGCAGAGGAUCUAAUUUGCUGAGGAAAACGGUCAAAGAAGGAAAAGGAGGAAAGGGAAACGAGGGGAUAUUUUGUGGAUGCUCUACUUUUCUUGGAAAUGCAAAAGAUUAUGCAUAUUUCUGUCCUCCUUUCUCCUGUUUUAUGGGGACUGAUUUUUGGUGUCUCUUCUAACAGCAUACAGAUAGGGGGGCUAUUUCCAAGGGGCGCUGAUCAAGAAUACAGUGCAUUUCGGGUAGGGAUGGUUCAGUUUUCCACUUCGGAGUUCAGACUGACACCCCAUAUCGACAAUUUGGAGGUAGCCAACAGUUUCGCAGUCACCAAUGCUUUCUGCUCCCAGUUUUCAAGAGGCGUCUAUGCGAUUUUUGGGUUUUACGACAAGAAGUCUGUAAAUACCAUCACAUCAUUCUGUGGGACACUGCAUGUAUCCUUCAUCACACCAAGCUUCCCAACAGAUGGCACGCAUCCAUUUGUCAUCCAGAUGCGACCUGACCUCAAAGGAGCACUCCUUAGCUUGAUUGAGUACUACCAAUGGGAUAAGUUCGCAUACCUCUAUGACAGUGACAGAGGCUUAUCAACACUGCAAGCUGUGCUGGAUUCUGCUGCGGAGAAGAAGUGGCAGGUGACUGCUAUCAAUGUGGGGAACAUUAACAAUGACAAGAAAGAUGAGACCUACAGAUCACUCUUUCAAGAUCUGGAGUUAAAAAAAGAACGGCGUGUAAUCCUUGACUGCGAAAGGGAUAAAGUCAAUGACAUUGUGGACCAGGUUAUUACCAUUGGAAAGCAUGUUAAAGGGUACCAUUAUAUCAUUGCAAAUCUGGGAUUUACUGAUGGAGACCUGCUGAAAAUUCAGUUUGGAGGAGCAAAUGUCUCUGGAUUUCAGAUUGUAGACUACGACGACUCCCUGGUGUCUAAAUUUAUAGAAAGAUGGUCAACACUCGAAGAGAAAGAAUACCCUGGAGCACACACAGCGACAAUUAAGUAUACUUCGGCCCUGACUUAUGAUGCUGUCCAAGUGAUGACUGAAGCAUUCCGCAAUCUUCGGAAGCAGAGGAUUGAAAUCUCCAGGAGAGGAAAUGCAGGAGAUUGUUUGGCCAACCCAGCUGUGCCUUGGGGACAAGGCGUGGAAAUAGAAAGGGCCCUCAAGCAGGUUCAAGUUGAAGGUCUCUCUGGAAAUAUAAAAUUUGACCAGAACGGAAAACGAAUAAACUACACAAUUAACAUCAUGGAGCUCAAAACAAAUGGACCCCGGAAGAUUGGGUACUGGAGUGAAGUGGAUAAAAUGGUUGUCACCCUAACCGAGCUCCCCUCUGGAAAUGACACAUCUGGGCUUGAAAACAAAACUGUGGUUGUCACCACAAUAUUGGAAUCUCCAUAUGUUAUGAUGAAGAAAAAUCAUGAAAUGCUUGAAGGGAAUGAGCGUUAUGAGGGCUACUGUGUUGACUUAGCUGCAGAAAUUGCCAAACAUUGUGGAUUCAAGUACAAGCUGACUAUUGUUGGGGAUGGCAAGUAUGGGGCCAGGGAUGCAGACACCAAAAUUUGGAAUGGUAUGGUUGGAGAACUUGUAUAUGGGAAAGCUGAUAUUGCCAUUGCUCCAUUAACUAUCACUCUCGUGAGAGAAGAGGUGAUUGACUUCUCGAAGCCAUUCAUGAGCCUUGGAAUCUCUAUCAUGAUCAAGAAGCCUCAGAAGUCCAAACCAGGAGUGUUUUCCUUUCUUGAUCCUUUAGCCUAUGAGAUCUGGAUGUGCAUUGUGUUUGCCUACAUUGGGAUCUCUCUCUGGGCGCAUUGUUGGAGGUGUGUGGUGGUUCUUUACCCUCAUCAUCAUCUCCUCCUACACGGCUAACUUAGCUGCCUUCCUGACUGUAGAGAGGAUGGUGUCGCCCAUCGAAAGUGCUGAGGAUCUGUCUAAGCAAACAGAAAUUGCUUAUGGAACAUUAGACUCUGGCUCCACUAAAGAGUUUUUCAGGAGAUCUAAAAUUGCAGUGUUUGAUAAAAUGUGGACUUAUAUGAGGAGUGCAGAGCCCUCUGUGUUUGUGAGGACUACGGCAGAAGGAGUAGCCAGAGUCAGGAAAUCCAAAGGGAAGUAUGCCUACUUGCUGGAGUCCACAAUGAAUGAGUACAUCGAGCAGAGGAAGCCUUGCGACACCAUGAAAGUGGGCGGCAACCUGGAUUCCAAAGGCUACGGCAUCGCCACACCUAAAGGAUCCUCAUUAAGGUGGGUGGAAUAGUAUAACAAUAUGCUCAAUGUUGUUAUAGUAUCCCACCUACCCUGAUGUGUCUUUAAGACUCUUAACGGUUUGUAUACGGAUAUGAGGUAACUCACAAUCACAAAAAUGAUCAGAAAAGUUUCUGAAUGUUUUGAGACAUUUGGAUACUCUUUGAAAUAUAUGGCAGGCUUUGGUUUGGUUCCGUUUGCUUUAUUUUAUACCUUAAUUUCCUUUCAUUUUUAGAGUUAAAUCAUAUUCAUUUUUAAGACUUUUUUUUUUAAGCUUGAUUUCCUCUUUUCGUUUCCUUUACCCACAUUUCUGGCCCUUGUGCCUUACAAACACCGCACACAGACUAAGGAAAUGGUUGGAUUCUAAGAGAAUCAAACCGAGAGACAUGACACUUUCUUUUAAAUUUUUUUUCUUUUUCUUUUUUAAUUUGGGGGAUAUUCCUUGGGGAAAAGAGAAUGCACUUUGAAUUUCUUUGCACACAUCUCUUUACUAUGUAGUUAACUCUUUGUAUUCCUAUUUUGUUGUUUGUUUAUUUUUUAGUGGAGUCACAUUCAAGACACUGUUAUUUGUUUGUUGUGGAUGUGAGUACAUUGCCGUAGAAUAUAGAACUCCCCAUAUUAGCACUCUUUCCUUCAUUUUCUUUCUGUUACGCUCUACCACCUUACCCAAAGAUUCAGAUUUUCAGUAACUCGGUAACAUUAUUGAUUGUGGCCUUUCUCCCACAUCGGUUUUUUUUUUGUGUGACAAGAGUUGCCACAGAAGCAAAAGAAAAAAAAAAUAAACAAAACAAGCAAAAAAAAGUCUAAAAUCUGCUCACCCUGUCUGACAAGUAUGUUUUAUCGUUUCAAGAAAUGCGGUUAACCUCGCAGUACUAAAACUGAAUGAACAAGGCCUGUUGGACAAAUUGAAAAACAAAUGGUGGUACGACAAAGGAGAGUGCGGCAGCGGGGGAGGUGAUUCCAAGGAAAAGACCAGUGCCCUCAGUCUGAGCAACGUUGCUGGAGUAUUCUACAUCCUUGUCGGGGGCCUUGGUUUGGCAAUGCUGGUGGCUUUGAUUGAGUUCUGUUACAAGUCAAGGGCCGAGGCGAAACGAAUGAAGGUGGCAAAGAAUGCACAGAAUAUUAACCCAUCUUCCUCGCAGAAUUCCCAGAAUUUUGCAACUUAUAAGGAAGGUUACAACGUAUAUGGCAUCGAGAGUGUUAAAAUUUAGGGGGUAGGAACGAGGCUCUAAUACAAACUUCUAAGUGCACGUUUAGCUUUCUUGUCGCGUCCUUAAGCUCUUUUAACUGAGGAAGAUGGCCAGUGGAUCAUCCUGUAUGUAUUGUUGAUGCUCUUCAUGUUCCUGACCAGUGACUAACCUGCAGUUCACCUGUCUAUUCUCCUCUUUAAUGGCACAGUCUCUGGGGUGAAUGUGGACAGAUUCCCGCCAUAAUUGUGCGUUAUUAUUUGUAGUUCAGCUUGCGUUGUCUACUUUCAUUUGCUAGAAGCUUUCAGAUACAAGUAAACUUUUCAAAAAGCAGCACCACCUUUACUCUGGAUGCAUUUGAAAACCAUAACGUGUGACUUUUUUCUUUCUUUCUUUCCUUCCUCUCUCAUUUAAGAUGACCUUGAGCGCUGCCACGAGGAACAAGGCAAGGCUGUCAAUUACAGGAAGUACUGGAGAAAAUGGACGUGUUAUGACUCCAGAAUUUCCCAAAGCAGUGCAUGCUGUCCCUUACGUGAGUCCUGGCAUGGGAAUGAAUGUCAGUGUGACUGAUCUCUCGUGAUUGAUAGGAACCUUCUGAGUGCCUUACACAAUGGUUUCCUUGUGUGUUUAUUGUCAAAGUGGUGAGAGGCAUCCGAUAUCUUGAAGGCUUUUCUUUCAGCCAAGAAUUCUUAACUAUGUGGAGUUCACCUUGAAUUGUAAGGAAAGAUUAAUUACAAACAGAGCAUCCUUUUCUACUUCGAUGUCAGAGGAAGCGUGGUGGACAUGCACAGCUAACAUGGAAGUACUAUCACUUAACUGAAGUCUUUGUACAGACAACAAACCCGUUUCCGCAGCCACUAUUGUUAGUCUCUUGAUUCAUAAUGACUAAGCACACUUGACAUCAACUGCAUCAAGAUGUGACCUGUUUUAUAAAAAAAAAGAGGAAAAAAAAACAUUUAAAAUAAAAAAAAUAUUUUUAGGUAUUUUCACAGACAAACUGGCUUUUAAAUAAAUUUGCUUCCGUACUGGUUGGUUAAGACAAAAACAAAAACAAAACAAAACAAAACAAAAAAAACAACAAAAAAACAAAACAAAACAAAACAAAAAAAUAAAGUCAAACUGUGUGGGAAGUGAUGGGGAAAAUGGUCCAUGGUAUCAGUUCCAUAUUUUUCAAAGCCAAAUAUGUAAAUGCUGAGGAAGGAAACAGAGGAGACUCCAGUCUUGUAAUUUAAUAUUGUUAUUAAAACUUUAAUGUAUCCUGUUCUUUAACAUUUGGUGUUAAUAUGAAACUACUUGGCGAUGCUUGACAUUUGAAAUAAACAUUUUUUCUAUUGUUUUAUUUGCAAGUGGUCCAGUUAAUUUUGCUUAGCUACAGUUUGGUCAUACAUCCAGUGAUCUAAAGACACUAAUGCAUAGUCCUUAGGAUCCCCUAAGAAAAAGACCCCAGUUAAAAUACAGGAAUAGUUUUUCUUUGACAAAUAGAAUUUACCCCAAAUAGUAUAUCUAAAACUAUUUUUUCUGUACAUCAUAUAUAUAAUAGUAAAAUAUUUGUUAAUUAAAAAGCAUUAAUCUAUAUAGAUAAAUGCUUGAAGAUUUAAAAAUCAGAUUUAUUAUCAAAUGUCAGAUUGUGUGAUUUUCUGCUCUUCAAGUAUUUAAGGUUGUGUAGGAGCAGCAAUCAUUAUAUAUAAAGUGAAAAAGGCUUGAAGGUAGCUGUUCAGAUACUUAUACACUGGCCAAAAUCUAUAAUCUAAGUAUGUAUUUUUAGUUUUAAAAUUAUAAGAACUGACAUCAGUUUUUGAAUACUAUAGUCACCUACAAAUAGUUUCUUUCCACUUCUAUCUAUAAAAUCAACUCUAAUAUAUUAAUUCUUAUUUAUGCCUCAAGUAGAAGGAGCACUUUAAUUUGUGUAAUGUGGAUACUGUUCCAUCUCUGUAACUUUCCACUAAAGAAAUCAUACUACACUAUUUGAUUCAUUUAAGCCAUCUAUCUUCCCUUCCUUAAAAUAUCUUUUAUGUUUAUUUCCACUAAUGUCCUCCAAAUAAAAUUACUUUAGAGUUAAAAGCAACUGACACCCAGUAGUUAUCUUUAAGAUUUAUAUGUUAUUUUUCUCUCAUAAAAAAUCUGUGUAAUAUUUGAUGUCUGACCAAGUGCUUGGUAGAGCAUCCUUACUGACUAUUUUUAAGGAUCAGAAAUGUAAGAUUUAACAGUAGCCACUUGCAUUCUACAUGGUAACAUGUAGUUUCAUGAUGAUCUUCACUAAAUUUUACCAUCCCUUCUAUAAAUUCCAAGAUCAUACAAAAUAAUUUGAGUGCAUUACUCAUCAGGGAUUCUGGAGGUACAUUUUAAGUUUUAAUAAUAAAUGCUAGAAUGACCAAAUUGCAGACUAAUUAUUUCCAUAUUGUACUUAAAAUGAGUUUUUAAAAAUUAUUUUAAAAGAGAUGACUAUAUACAAUCAAAGCUAUUUAUUGUACCUCUGGGCCUACUCUUCCAAAAAUUGAGCUUAUCAAUUUUUCUCUGUCAAGCUUGAACUAAUGUAAAUAAUUGGAAUAAUGUAAAGUUAUAUUUUCAUGUUUUUAUAGUUAUGACAAGAACACUUAAUGUAAGAGUAUCUCGAGUAUGAAUAAUGUUGAUUGGCUAACACAGAGCUCAGUUUUAGGCAGUAAAAUCUAGUUCAAUAUCCAUGUAACAAUGCAUCAGUAUAUUGCUGUAUAGAUGUGUCUGUGUGCAUAUAAGUGAUAAGUGCUCAACAAAGAGUGGUGACAGCUCUCUCAAGGUUUUUUUUUUAAUUCAUUUUCUAUAAACUGUUAUGGAAAGACCAAAAUAAUUAUGAACUAUUCUUAUGUAAAUUUACAAUUGUCCUUUACUGUACAUUUUGUUUACAGUAUAGUACCUUAUUCUCUGCUGUGUUAAGUGGGUGUCAUACUCCAAGGAGACAAACACUUUCUACAACUUCUAUUGAAGAUUCUGGGAUUUCCAAUUUUUCAUGUGUACUAUGUCUGAAAAUGCUUUUGAUUUUAUUUUUAAAUCUAACAUCUGAUGGAUUUUUCAGAGUGUUGUGAAACCUUCAGUCAUACAUAAAAUAUGUUCUUAUAAAAUGUCAACAUCUUUUUAUUUUGUUUUUACUUAAUGGUAUAUCAAUCUAAUAAUGAGAAACCAAAAGUGUAUCAUAUAUCCCCCCCCCCAAAUCUAGAUGUUUUUAGUGAGGGAGGGCAUCAGUUUGUCAGCAAAGUCUGAAUAGUGUCAAGGCAGAAUAUUUUUUAAUUUAAAUUAAGAGAAUUAGUAAUUCUGGUAUUUCACACCUAUACUCAUUAGGUUCUUUGGACAUAUAUAGAAAUGUGGCUAUUGAUUAAAUCACUUAUUUUGUAAUAGACAACACUGGUAACAUACCAGGCAUUGUGCACUUAGCCCUCCUACUGUGCAGUCAUCUCAUUUGCUGUGGUACUCAUAUUAAAGAGCAGGAAAGUAACUUGCUUUAAAAUAUGGUUUGACUUUUAAAAAUUGACCACUUAUUAUUUAACUUAAAAAUUCUUUCCACUUUAACUAAUUUCUUCACAAAGCUGGUCAUUUGAAUAACUACACAAUCCUAUUUAUAUGUACUUUAAAGUUAUUCCAAUAUUAUAGUUCUCCUAACUUGAACAUAAAUUUGUAAAAAUUUUUAUACUUAAAUGUAUCAAGUACUUAACACACCAAUAUAAAGGUGAUUCUGCUUAAAAAUACAGGAAUUUUACAUUUCUAAUCUGUAAAUACUGUGGAUAUUUUCAUGAUCAAGGUAGUACUUUGAGAAUAAGAAGAAAAUUACUAGCAACAUUCCUGUAAAAACCUUUAGCACCUACCAUAUCUUAAGGAUAUCAUUAACUUUUAAUUUUAAAUGAAGUGUAUGUAUGUGCGUGCUGAUGUGGGAAUAUGCCCAUGAGUGCAGGUGUCUGCUGAUAACAGGGGUGGGCCCAGGUAUAUCAGAGCUAGAGUGGGGUUAUAGAUGCUUGCCAGCUCCUAAAAUGGUUUUUGGAGAAACUAGCCUGGGUCCACUGCAAGUGUUCUUUCUUAACCACUGAGCAAUCCUCCAGCACCAAUAACAUCAUUAAAACUUUUUAAAAAGAACCUCUUUGCAGUUCAUUAAACUAUGACAUACCAAUUUUUCAUACUUUACCUAAUGGCAAUCUGGAGGUCCAUCUACAUAAUAGAAACUAUUCGAUGACUUCACGUGUGGAAUGAUUUUCUGUGUUUUUAAACUUGCUUUCUGCUGAUAAAAUUGAUUGUGCAUGGGUUUUUUUUUUCUUGAGGGGGGGCGGGGAGGGUGGUGAGUCCUCUGAAAGAAAGUGCAAUUAGGUCAAAUGUAUCUUUCUAUUUAAUUUAUAUGUUAUAUGCAGGUGUUUGAUCGAAUGACUUAGAAUGUUUAUAACACUAGCAUUAGUUGGAAAUAUAUACAUUAAUAAGAGUAUAGUAUUAACUUUGGACACUUGAUUAGGUAAGCUUGACAAAUCUUUAUGAAUAGAUUCAAAAGAAGCAUAUUAAAGAAGUUGCCUGAAAGUUGCAAAUAUGCAUUAACUAUGGAAAGAUGUACAAGGUGCUCUGACACUUAAAACUGGUUUAAUUUACCUCGCCGGCACGGAGGAUGGGUAAGUAUACACAAACUGCUCUGAGACCCUGAACAAAAGUUGAGGGAGCACUAGAUGGUUUGGGAAAUAUUGAAUUAAACCUUUUUUAAAACAUGCUUUUAAUAUAUUGUUUGGGUUAAACCAUGACACAAGACAUUUUGUUAGACACUCAAUAAUUACACUUUAUGUUUAAAAAGAACAACCCACGAACAGCACACAACACUCCAAGCCCAUGGAGGUUCAAAUACAUUUAUGUAAACAUAACAUCUCAGAAAGUUUCCACAAGCUCUAAAGAAGUACCCAGAGCUAAUGUGGAUCAUGAAGAAUUUGUGAAUGUCUUGUGUCCUGUCUGUAUCCCUUUCUUGCUUUAUAUUUUACACUCUCUUUGUACCCUUAGAUACAAGUGACAUUUGUCACUUAACAUAUUUCCAAUACCAUACUUUCUCAGUGUAUAGUUUCAUCCAUCUUAUUUCAUUGCAUCCCUCCCUCACACUGUCCAUCUAGCUUUGACUUUCCUUAUGAGAAAUUUUGCUUUGAGAACACGUACAAUGCAGUUCACUUCGUCCAAGACAGGACUGAAACUUUCAAAGUCUUUUUAAUGACCAUAGCAAGGAACUAGGAAUCUCUCAAACGAAAGAGGAGAGCAUGUGUUAAUCUCCAUGUUUGCAUCACACACGUAUUCUGAUCCAACAUGGCUGCUUAGCUAUAUACCCAUUUCACCUAAAGACUCCACAUUCAGGAGAGUUCCUGGAGGAUGCAGGAGGUUCUCUGAAGAAGCAGAAAACCUGAGAACUCAGUCUUAUCUUUGCCCAUCAGGGUUUUGAUAGCCACUUCACUAGAAGUACAACCUAUUCUCUAUUUUAAUUCAAUUCCCUAGGAUUUUGAAAUUUAUAUCUCUCACAAAGUAUAAUUAUAACCUAAUUUUGCUAUUCCACAGCCAAACUCCUUUUGGAUAUGCAUAAACUCAGAAUUAUUUAAUUAAUGAUAACCUGGAUUUACUGAAUAAAUUUGGUCACUUUUCUUUCUUUCUUUUUCCUUUCAGGUUAAUGUGCCAAUUUCAUUUUACUGUAAAUUGGAAUGUGGGGGAGUGGAUUAAACUCUUGGGAGGGAGUCAAGUCCAGCUCUCUAGCUUUAUCUUCCCCAUCCCCUCACCUCUGUGUGUCUCCUCAACUGGAGUAUGUGGAUACUAGGACAGUUUCCCGGAAUGAUGAAAGGAAAGACUGUAUCUUUUAAAAUUGAUGCUUGAAGAAACAGGUUCUUGCAUGGGAGUGCCACUCAGUGCAGAAAGUUUUGUUAUUUGGUUCAAAAUGGUUUUUAUCAUCUUAACACGCUAGUCAGUUUUAUCUGCGAACAUUCAUUCAGUAACUCACUAAUUUACCCAUUUGCUCAAAAAAAUGCUUAUUGAAUCUAUUAAAUAGUAUUUAUUAGAGGUAAGGGCUAAAUUUAAAGCCUCUAUUUCUGAGAAGUUUCUAUAAAUCAUGCUCUGAUGUGUUCCCAGCCACAUAGAAAUAAUUUGGUUUUAGGGUUAGUAUCUGACAAUUAAAAUUGGUAUAUUUACCUGUUCUGUAGAAGACAUUGUACUUUCCUUCAGGACAAAAGUCUUGGCAACAUUCAUGAGAAAUUGCCUCUAA